CAAAAAUGAACUUCUACUAAGUUCGCCACGUCCUGUGGUAACGUAGAAGUCAGCGCGUCGUGCGCA
rfam:Bacillus coahuilensis m4-4 1955101000134, whole genome shotgun sequence.